rnacentral:lncRNA from 1 species
UUUUCGCUGCCCAGCUUCAGCAACUACUUGAGCUUCGUUAAGCUGCCGUCUCUCUAAUGUUCCUUUAUUUUCUUCUAAAAAUAGCGUUGAUGAACAUCAUUUUGUGUACCAGAGGAGUUUCUGGUGAUGGUCACACAAUCCCUCUAAGAAGUUCUGAGCUUACUCAUUCCUUAUUUUUGUUUUAAUUUUUUUAAUGUUUAAAAUAAAUUUUCUUUGAUUUCUUGUAAAAGAAGGGAGAAAGGAAUAAAAAGCGAUGUGAUGAUAGAAAUUCAAUGGUCUGUCAAUCCACUGAUCUAAUUUGAUGUUACAUUGAAGUUCCGACAGGUUCUGAUCGCUUUUUAUUCCCCCUUUCUUCUAGAUUUCUUUAAAAAAUGAUUUUAGGUUUGAACUUGGUUCUACUGAGUUAAUGUUCUGGGCAUAUGAUGAAUCUCAUGUUGUAAUGGGUAAUUUGCGUCUGAACUAGUAUUUCUUGAUGCUAAAACACCUUAGAGACCUGAUGCCACUUUUUUCAAUGUAUUUGGAAAAAUUAUUUUCUUUAGUGAUUGAAGCCAGAUCUUAUGCUUAUUUCGUUGGAUUCCUUUUUUACUUAGGUUAUGAUGGUUUUGCUUAUUAGAUAGCAUAUCGCUAAAGGUUUGCUUACAUCCUUAAAGUAAUGUUUCACUUUUUGUACGCUAAUUCAUUCAAAGCUUUGCUUUUUUAAUUUGUUCGUUUAUCAAUUCAACAAUUGUCCCCUCAUGUUUAUGUUUUUGGGCAACUGAUGAAUUCCUUUAUGCAAUGGGUAAUUUGCGUCUGAUAAUCUUUACUGAUGCUAUCACCUUGGAGACCUGAUGCCCUUUUCUUGCAUUACUUUUAAAGCAUUAUGUGCUUUGUCUUUUCUAAUUUGAAUUGCCUUUUGGAUCCAUAAUUAGCUUGUCAAGUUGGGUUCAGGUUUUAUAUCUUAUAUUUGAGUUAUGAUUAAGUGUAUAUCUGUAUAUUGACUGUAUAUUGAUUCAAAGUGUCAUUGUACUGCAUGUGACAUCUCCUAAUAACUAUUUAGCCCCAGUUUUAUUUAAGGGGACCUGUAAUACUGAAUGGAUCCUUAAAUGAGUUUGCUGAUUUUUUUUUCUUGAGUUCUAGUCUUCUCCAAUGGAUUAUUAACGGUGUAUAAUAUAAUGUCACCUCUUCAGAAUUGUGUGCGUUACUUUUUAAUAAACCUUAGUUUUGAUUUAUGCUUCUCAUGCCUUCUUCAAGACAAUCUCUGAUUUUGGUCAGAUAUGCUGUAAAUGCUUAAUGGAUGAGCAACCUUGGCAAGGGGACUCGGAAGACUUUUUCUCUCGCUUGUAAUAUGCAAUGGCUUGAUUAUGAUAUAUAUUUUUGUUUAUUUGCCGAGAAGAUCAAGUGUGUAAUGUUUUGAGAAGCAC